AUGGAAUCCUGUGGCAUCCAUGAGACCACCUUCAACUCCAUCGUGAAGUGUGAUGUGGGCAUCCACUAAGACCCGUAUGCC
rnacentral:miRNA from 13 species